rnacentral:misc_RNA from 1 species
AUGUAUUUUAGUCGUUUCCGCGCUUUUGCAUACCACGCUCGUACGUUUUCACGUUGAAUUUCACAUCCCGGGGCAAUCGAUAUCACGCGAACGCUAUUCAGCUUUGACGAUCUUCGUCAAUUAACUUGAACCUGUUUCACCUUAAUUUCUGCAACAGGAACGAGGAACAGGCCAAACGGUGCGUGCAAUUCACUGAUUUGGGAUUCAAACGACCGCCAUCUUUGCGCCAACGAUCGCCAUUGAAAGCAGAUUUACGCGGGAAAGAUGAAAACGAUCUGGGUGAUCGGUGGACCGGGAUGCGGUAAGGGAACGCAGUGCGAUCGUAUGAUCGAGCAAUAUGGAUUUCUCCAUUUAAGCAGCGGCGAUUUGCUGCGAGCGGAAGUCGCCAGCGGCAGUGAAAGGGGUGCGUCGCUUCAAGAUCUGAUGUCCAAAGGACUAUUCGUACCAACGGACAUCGUGUUGGAGCUUAUAAAGGAAAACAUGGACAAAGCUCGCGAAGCAGGCACUACAAAAACCGGAUUUCUCAUCGACGGAUAUCCUCGUGAGAAGGAGCAAGGCAUUCUCUUUGAGCAAAAUGUCUGUCCCGUCGACUUGAUUCUUUUCUUCGACGUAUCAAACGAGACUCUGAAGAAGAGGCUUCUCGGACGUGCCGCUGUGUCCCAAAGGGCGGACGAUAACGAAGAGACAAUAAAUAAGCGAAUUGAGAUAUUCAAUUCGAAGAAUAACGAGAUCGUGGAACAUUACAAAGAUAAAGUUGUCAGGAUUAAUGCAGAGGGAGCAGUGGAGGAGAUAUUCGCCGAGGUGACAAAAGCACUGGAUGCUUUGUUAGCGUAGAUAAAUCACGUAGAUGAAUUCUGAAGAGUUGCACGAAACCAGCUGCUAAAAUCUUCAUCUAAAUUCAAGGGACCACAGAGCUAGUGCUGAAAUUCGCGAAAUUGUCGGACAAGGCAUUCGCGCCGGUCAAAGGUUCGGAGUAUGCAGCGGGAUACGAUCUACGAAG